UACGUAGGUGGCAAGCGAUACUCGGAAUCACUAGGCGUAAAGCGCAGGUAGGCGGUUGGAUAAGUUUCUUGUGAAAGCUCCCGGCUUAACUGGGAGAGGUCAAGGAAUACUGUCUGACUUGAGUGUGGUAGGGGUAACUGGAAUUCCCGGUGUAGCGGUGAAAUGCGCAGAUAUCAGGAGGAACACCAAUGGCGAAGGCAGCUCUCUGGGACGGUACUGACGCUGAGACGCGAAAGCGUGGGGAGCGAACAGG
rnacentral:rRNA from 1 species